GGUUGUUUUUCUCUGUCCAGCAAAAGAUGUCUCCAGUUUUUCAAAAUUUAAAUAUAUCUAGAGAUGACUUGGUGUAUAGAUGCAUUCACAUUUAGUUAAAAUUAAGACAUCUUUUAUUGGACGGAGGAAUAUUAGG
rnacentral:pre_miRNA from 1 species